UGCUUCUUCCACCAUUCUCUGGGAAAAACCCUGUUUUGCUAUGCUUACUACCCCUGUUGUCCUUCAGCAACACAAUGAAGACUGCUUCUUCCUCCAUUCUCUGGAAAAAAGUCCCUUUUUUGCCAUACUUACUGCCCCUGUUUGUCCUUCAGCAACACAAUAAAGUAUAUAUAAUGUAAUGCUUUAGAAUCCAUAUGCUGAUGUACGAGAUGAAGUUUGAAUCCAUGGCGGCAACAGAGAAACUGUUUCCUUCCUUAAUGGAAGAAACUGCUAAAGAACAAUGGCAAAAAAACAGAAUUUACAAAAUUUGUAUUAACUUUUUGGG